AGACCCGAAACCCGGUGAUCUAGCCAUGGGCAGGUUGAAGGUUGGGUAACACUAACUGGAGGACCGAACCGACUAAUGUUGAAAAAUUAGCGGAUGACCUGUGGCUGGGGGUGAAAGGCCAAUCAAACCGGGAGAUAGCUGGUUCUCCCCGAAAGCUAUUUAGGUAGCGCCUCGUGAAUUCAUCUCCGGGGGUAGAGCACUGUUUCGGCUAGGGGGCCAUCCCGGCUUACCAACCCGAUGCAAACUGCGAAUACCGGAGAAUGUUAUCACGGGAGACACACGGCGGGUGCUAACGUCCGUCGUGAAGAGGGAAACAACCCAGACCGCCAGCUAAGGUCCCAAAGUCAUGGUUAAGUGGGAAACGAUGUGGGAAGGCCCAGACAGCCAGGAUGUUGGCUUAGAAGCAGCCAUCAUUUAAAGAAAGCGUAAUAGCUCACUGGUCGAGUCGGCCUGCGCGGAAGAUGUAACGGGGCUAAACCAUGCACCGAAGCUGCGGCAGCGACACUGUGUGUUGUUGGGUAGGGGAGCGUUCUGUAAGCCUGUGAAGGUGUGUCGUGAG
rnacentral:rRNA from 4 species